AUGUUCUUCAUCCCGCUCCUGCCCGCUCCCACUGAACUUCUGACCAUUACUGCCCGCAACCGCAGUGUGCAUGUCCACAACCGCCCGCAACCGCAGUGUGCACGUCUACUCCCGCCCGCAACCGCAGUGUGCACGUCUACUCCCGCCCGCAACCGCAGUGUGCACGUCUACUCCCGCCCGCAACCGCAGUGUGCACGUCCACUCCCGCCCGCAACCGCAGUGUGCACGUCCACUCCCGCCCGCAACCGCAGUGUGCACGUCCACUCCCGCCCGCAACCGCAGUGUGCAUGUCCACUCCCGCCCGCAACCGCAGUGUGCACGUCUACUCCCGCCCGCAACCGCAGUGUGCACGUCCACUCCCGCCCGCAACCGCAGUGUGCAUGUCCACUCCCGCCCGCAACCGCAGUGUGCACGUCCACUCCCGCCCGCAACCGCAGUGUGCACGUCCACUCCCGCCCGCAACCGCAGUGUGCACGUCCACUCCCGCCCGCAACCGCAGUGUGCACGUCCACUCCCGCCCGCAACCGCAGUGUGCACGUCCACUCCCGCCCGCAACCGCAGUGUGCACGUCCACUCCCGCCCGCAACCGCAGUGUGCACGUCCACUCCCGCCCGCAACCGCAGUGUGCACGUCCACUCCCGCCCGCAACCGCAGUGUGCACGUCCACUCCCGCCCGCAACCGCAGUGUGCACGUCCACUCCCGCCCGCAACCGCAGUGUGCAUGUCCACUCCCGCCCGCAACCGCAGUGUGCAUGUCCACUCCCGCCCGCAACCGCAGUGUGCACGUCUACUCCCGCCCGCAACCGCAGUGUGCAUGUCCACUCUCGCCCGCAACCGCAGUGUGCACGUCCACUCCCGCCCGCAACCGCAGUGUGCAUGUCCACUCCCGCCCGCAACCGCAGUGUGCAUGUCCACUCUCGCCCGCAACCGCAGUGUGCACGUCCACUCCCGCCCGCAACCGCAGUGUGCAUGUCCACUCCCGCCCGCAACCGCAGUGUGCAUGUCCACUCUCGCCCGCAACCGCAGUGUGCACGUCUACUCCCGCCCGCAACCGCAGUGUGCACGUCUACUACCGCCCGUAACCGCAGUGUGCACGUCCCCUCCCGCCCGCAACCGCAGUGUGCACGUCCACUCCCGCCCGCAACCGCAGUGUGCACGUCUACUCCCGCCCGCAACCGCAGUGUGCAUGUCCACUCUCGCCUGCAACCGCAGUGUGCACGUCUACUGUCGCCCGCAACCGCAGUGUGCAUGUCCACUCCCGCCCGCAACCGCAGUGUGCAUGUCCACUCCCGCCCGCAACCGCAGUGUGCAUGUGCUCUCCCACCCUCAACUGCGGUGUGCAUGUCCACUCCCGCCCGCAACCGCAAAACUCGGAGAAAUAAUUACCUCACAAUAAAAUAG
rnacentral:lncRNA from 1 species